CAUAAGCAAACAGCAGCACCAACAAAACGUAAGGGCUACUAGUGGAGUGGUCAUCGGAACAGAGACCAACUGUCCAGCCAGGGAGGUACGCGGUGCUACUUCUUCAGUUUCGUGGCCCAGCAGGGAUGCCCUUGUGACUGGAAUCAGAGUUUGCACAGACUCCUAAGAGGAUAGGAUUUAAGGAUGGCUGAGCAACAGUGGGGAUUUUGGAGAAAUGUCAUGAGGAAGGUUCUGGAGCCAGGGCAGUUACUGUUGAAGAUUAAGAAGGAAGUGUGAGCCGGGCGGUGGUGGCACACGCCUUUAAUCCCAGCACUCGGGAGGCAGAGGCAGGCGGAUCUCUGGCACCACCAGUUGUGAGUUGGGCCCUCUUACAUGAGUCAUCAAUCAGGAAAAUGCCCACACACUUGCCUGCUGCCCAAUCACAAGGAAACAUUUUCUCCAUCAGAAUUCU